GAGAGUAUAGCUCAGAGGUAGAGUGCAUGCCUAGCAUGCACAAGGUCCUGGGUUCAACCCCCAGUACCUCCA
rnacentral:tRNA from 1 species